CCAUUCUGCAGAUCUGGAGUCAGAAGCACAGAGAGCUGCUGGAGUUCUUUCAGCGCCUCACAGUCCGUGAGCAGCAGAGUUCGAGUGCAGAAUGAAGCCGUCAAGGCUCCAAAGCAUUCGGUUUUCUGAAGCCAGAGAGGUGAGAUACGAUCCUGUCUCCUGCAGAGCGGUACCGAUCCGGAGGGGAAACACAUUCUGCAGUGGACUUUGCUGCUUUCUGUGACACCCUGUGGGUCAGGUAGGCAUGGGUGCUCAUUGGAUAAGAUCAUUACAGUCUGCAAUGGGCUUCCAGGGACGCAACCCCGAAGUAUUUCCACGACCUCUUACCAGACUGCAAGCUUUUAACCCUCUGUGCCUCAUUAUCAACUAAAUACUGUGAGGGACAAGAUCCUGUGUGACUUUUGAACACACACACACACACACACACACACAUACACGCGCACUGCAAAUCUCUGCUUGUAAUUUAAUUGUUGUGAAUCGUCUGACCAAACC
rnacentral:lncRNA from 1 species